rnacentral:tRNA from 1 species
AGCCCUGUAGCUCAACUGGAGUAGAGCAAUUAUGUAGCUAGUAAUAGGUUCUGGGUUCGAGUCCCGGCAGGGCUACCA